UGCACCGGAUCCCAUCAGAACUCCGCAGUUAAGCGUGCUUGGGCGAGAGUAGUACUAGGAUGGGUGACCUCCUGGGAAGUCCUCGUGUUGCAACCC
rnacentral:rRNA from 1 species